rnacentral:rRNA from 1 species
AGCAGCCGCGGUAAUUCCAGCUCCAAUAGCGUAUAUUAAAGUUGUUGCAGUUAAAAAGCUCGUAGUUGAAUUUCGAGAUCAAAUUGUUGGUCGUGCCUCGGUACGUACUGGCAUUAUUGAUUCUCCCUUCUGAAGAACCACGAUGUCAUUAAUUUGGUGUCGUGGGGAAUCAGGACUGUUACUUUGAAAAAUUAGAGUGUUUAAAGCAGGCUCACGCUUGAAUACAUUAGCAUGGAAUAAUGAAAUAGGACGUUUGAUUCUAUUUUGUUGGUUUCUAGGAUCGACGUAAUGAUUAAUAGGGAUAGUUGGGGGCAUUAGUAUUCAAUUGUCAGAGGUGAAAUUCUUGGAUUUAUUGAAGACUAACUACUGCGAAAGCAUUUGCCAAGGAUGUUUUCAUUAAUCAAGAACGAAAGUUAGGGGAUCGGAGACGAUCAGAUACCGUCGUAGUCU